UAGCACAGAGAGCUUGCUCUCGGGUGACGAGCGGCGGACGGGUGAGUAAUGUCUGGGAAACUGCCUGAUGGAGGGGGAUAACUACUGGAAACGGUAGCUAAUACCGCAUAACGUCGCAAGACCAAAGUGGGGGACCUUCGGGCCUCAUGCCAUCAGAUGUGCCCAGAUGGGAUUAGCUAGUAGGUGGGGUAACGGCUCACCUAGGCGACGAUCCCUAGCUGGUCUGAGAGGAUGACCAGCCACACUGGAACUGAGACACGGUCCAGACUCCUACGGGAGGCAGCAGUGGGGAAUAUUGCACAAUGGGCGCAAGCCUGAUGCAGCCAUGCCGCGUGUGUGAAGAAGGCCUUCGGGUUGUAAAGCACUUUCAGCGGGGAGGAAGGCGUUAAGGUUAAUAACCUUGUCGAUUGACGUUACCCGCAGAAGAAGCACCGGCUAACUCCGUGCCAGCAGCCGCGGUAAUACGGAGGGUGCAAGCGUUAAUCGGAAUUACUGGGCGUAAAGCGCACGCAGGCGGUCUGUCAAGUCGGAUGUGAAAUCCCCGGGCUCAACCUGGGAACUGCAUUCGAAACUGGCAGGCUAGAGUCUUGUAGAGGGGGGUAGAAUUCCAGGUGUAGCGGUGAAAUGCGUAGAGAUCUGGAGGAAUACCGGUGGCGAAGGCGGCCCCCUGGACAAAGACUGACGCUCAGGUGCGAAAGCGUGGGGAGCAAACAGGAUUAGAUACCCUGGUAGUCCACGCCGUAAACGAUGUCGAUUUGGAGGUUGUGCCCUUGAGGCGUGGCUUCCGGAGCUAACGCGUUAAAUCGACCGCCUGGGGAGUACGGCCGCAAGGUUAAAACUCAAAUGAAUUGACGGGGGCCCGCACAAGCGGUGGAGCAUGUGGUUUAAUUCGAUGCAACGCGAAGAACCUUACCUGGUCUUGACAUCCACAGAACUUUCCAGAGAUGGAUUGGUGCCUUCGGGAACUGUGAGACAGGUGCUGCAUGGCUGUCGUCAGCUCGUGUUGUGAAAUGUUGGGU
rnacentral:rRNA from 1 species